UUGGCGUUUUGGUUAGUCUUGCGUAGAACCGGUGGCGCGCGGGUUCCCUCCUGUUCGUGACCUCCUUUACCCCAGUGCCUUGUGACCUGACCUGACCUAACUUGCCCUCCACACCCUUAUCCUCCCCCUCCUCUUCUGACCACUUUUCAAUUCCCUGUUGUUGUUCUUGGAUCCUGUUUGACCGUUUUCAUAUGGCAAUCUUUUUUUUUUUUUUUUUUUUUUUCGUUGCGGUCAAGAUGUGAAUUGCUUUAGUGUUGCUGGUGAAAGGGUUUGAGGAAGAGGAGGGCCGGUAAGAAAGAAGAAGAAGAAGAAGAAGAAGAAGAAGAAAUGUGAUAGAUGAUAAAAAUGAUAAUAAUAAUAAUAAUAAAAUAGAGACGAAUGGAAAAUGAAGUGAAAAUGAAGAACAGAAGAAAGUGAAAAAGAAAAACAAAAAAAAAGUAACAGAAAAGAAAAGAAAAGAAAACGAGAGAAAAAAAAUAAAUAAUGAAAUAAAACACCAAAAAACAACAACAACAACAACAACCAGAAAACAAAAGAAAAACAAAGAAAAGAAAAACGCCGAUAAGAGUUCGUGACACAGACAAACAACAACAACAACAACAACAACAACAACAACAACAGCAAUGAAGGUGGCGGUGGUGGUGGCGGCGGUGGUGGCGGCGGUGUGCUGGCGCGGAGGUGAGGUCGGGGUUCGAGCCCUUCCGGACGUGAUAAACAUUGGCGCCGUUCUAGACGCUGAGGAUGACAUGCAGGAGGUAGCGAUGAGACACGCCGUUCAAAGGAUUAAUGAUGAUCCCGCAGUGUUACCAGUGUCCAAACUCCUACCUUACAUAGACAUCCAACCCGCGGACGACUCUUUCCAUGCAUCUAAACGAGUGUGUAACCUCCUGAAGAUGGGCAUGGCCGCCAUCUUUGGGCCUCAGAGCGAGAAGACCGCCAACCACGUCCAAUCUAUCUGCGACAACAAGGAAAUCCCGCACAUAGAGACUCGUUAUGAUUACAAGCUCACCAGGGACGCUUACUCCAUCAAUCUCCACCCCUACCCCCCCUCACUCAGCCAGGCUUACUACGAUAUCCUGAAGGCGCUGAAGUGGAAGAGCUUCGUUGUCCUUUACGAUACGAACGAGAGCUUAGUCCGCCUUCAGAAGAUCCUGCAGGACAGCUCUUGGAAGGUCCACGUUAGACACCUCAGCCCCGGCGGUGACCACAGACCGUUGUUGAAGCAGAUCCCGAAGUCACAGGAGACGCGCAUUCUGAUUGACGUGAAGCAGGACAUGAUCUACCAGGUGCUGAGGCAGGCGGGGCAGGUGGGCCUCAUGACGCAAUACUACAGCUAUUUCAUCACGUCCCUGGACUUGAACCAGGUGGCCUUGGAGGAGUUUCGUCACGGAGGGUCAAACAUCACUGGGAUCCAACUGCUUGACCCGGACAGCAAGGCGAUGCGGGAUAUGGCCGAGAAGUGGAAGAGGGCCGAGAUGAACAUGGGCCGAGUUCUACCUGAGCGCUUCAACAAGAUCACGACAGGUGCCGCCCUUAUGUACGACGCUGUGGUUCUGUUUUCGAGCGCUCUCUCCACGCUGGACAAAUCAAGACGGGUUCACAUACGGGGACUCACUUGCGAUGGGGACGAUACUUGGCAACACGGCAACUCCCUGAUCAACUACAUGAAACUGUUCGGGUCCAGGGCCAUCACGUCACCCGCUGCAGACCCUCACCGACAAAUACCUUACGGGAGGAUGAACAUGAACAGCUAUAAUCCGUACGGAAGUCACAGUACCUCCAGGGGCAUGAGGGGACCCUAUAUGCCCCCGAUCCAGAAUGUGAGUUACGUGACAGACCAGGUCCGCCUCAUGGGUCUGACGGGUCUGUUGAAGUUCGACGGCGCUGGGUUUAGGUCCGAGUUCGAUUUGGAUAUCAUUGAACUGGAUAUUAAUGACCGGCCGAAGCUGUUGAAUACGGUGGGCAAGUGGACGCUGAACGGCGGCGCAAACUUCACUCGUACGUGGGCCAACGGUUCGGACCCCCAAGAUGAAAACCUGCUGAAUAGAACCCUAAUUGUGUCAACGGCCCUGACGCCGCCCUACACCAUGCUGAAGAAGUCCUCGGAGCAGCUGACGGGCAACGAUCGCUUCGAGGGGUUUUGCAUCGACAUCAUUAAGGAGAUCGCCAAGCAGAGAGGCUUCAACUACACCUUCACGAUCCCGGAGGACAAGCAGUACGGCAGCAAGAACAGAGAGACGGGCGAGUGGAACGGCAUCAUGAGGGAGUUGAUUGACCAUCGUGCCGACCUCGGUAUUGUGGACUUCACCAUCACGUACGAGAGAGAGGAGGCGGUGGACUUCACUAUGCCCUUCAUGAAUUUGGGUAUCAGUAUCAUCUAUAGCAAGCCGCAAAAAAAGUCCCCCAGUCUAUUUUCCUUCAUGUCUCCGUUUUCUGUGGAUGUCUGGAUCUACAUGGCCACUGCCUACCUCGGCGUGUCCGUCCUGCUCUUCAUCUUGGCCAGGAUGGCCCCGGAAGAGUGGGACUGCCCUUACCCUUGCAUAGAGGAACCUGAGGAGCUGGAGAACUGCUUUACGCUCCUCAAUUCCAUGUGGUUCAUUAUCGGAACGUUUUUGUGUCAGGGCGCGGAUAUUGCACCUAAGGCCGUGUCAACCCGUAUCGUGGCCGGCAUCUGGUGGUUCUUCACGCUCAUCAUGAUCUCGUCCUACACGGCCAACCUCGCUGCUUUCCUCACGGUCGAGCGCAUGGACGCCCCUAUCGAGAGCGCGGAGGACCUGGCCAAGCAGACGAAGAUCAAAUAUGGCUGCAAGAGGGACGGGUCGACGUACAACUUCUUCAUGGACAGCAACAUCCCCACCUAUAUGAGGAUGUGGACCACCAUGUCAAACGCCCGCCCUACAGUCUUCACCAAGAGCAAUGACGACGGCGUGGAGCGCGCGGCCAAGUCCAAGGGCAUGUACGCCUUCCUGAUGGAGUCCUCGUCGAUCGAGUACGUGGUGGAGAGGAACUGUGACCUCAUGCAGAUUGGCGGCCUGCUGGAUUCUAAGAGUUACGGGAUUGCUCUGCCUCAAGGCUCCCCCUACACGGACAAGAUCAGCUCCGCCAUAUUGAGACUGAAGGAAAACGGGACGCUGCAUCGACUGAAGGACAAAUGGUGGAAAGGAGAAGGAGGAUGCAUGACGGAGGUGAAGAAAGACGCGGCCUCGGCAGCAGAACUGGGUCUAGAGAACGUGGGCGGUGUCUUCGUCGUGAUGAUAGGUGGGAUAGCCUGCGCCGUGCUGGUUGCCUGCUGUGAAUUCAUGUGGAAGGCGCGGAAACUGGCUACGGAUGAUGGGGUAUCGUUCACGGAGGAGAUCUGCAAGGAGCUCCUCUUCGUUAUCAGCUGUCGUGAAAACUCGAAGCCCGUCCGCAAGAAAGCCUCGCCCUCGCACACCGACUCCUCCUCCAUCUACGAUUUCUCCAACUACGGCUACUCGGAGAAGAAGUGACGACGAGGAGGGGGAGGAGGAGGAGGAGGAGGGGAAGUUAGUGGAGAGAAGAAGGAGGAAGAAGCUGUGGAAUGAGAGAAAAGAGGAGAGGAAGAAAAAGGAGAUGAAUUUAGGAGAGAGGAAAAUGAGAGGAGGAGGACGAGGAGGAGGGGAAGUUAGUGGAGAGGAGAAGGAGGAAGAAGAUGUGGAAUGAGAGAAAAGAGGAGAGAAAGAGAGGAAGGAGAGGAAGAAGGAGCUGAUGAAGAAGAAGAGAAGGGAGAGGAAUUUAAGAGAGAGGAGAAAGAAGAUGAUAGAGUAGAAUGAAAUGGAGGAAGAGGAGGAGGAGGAGGAGGAGGAGGAGCAGUUAGAGAAGAAGAGAAGGAGGAGAAAGAAAGUUAGAAAGGAAAGGAGAGAAUGUAGGAGAAGGAAGACGCUGAUUAGAGUAGAAUGAGGAGGAGGAGGAGGAGGAGGAGGAGGAGGAGGAGGAGGAGGAAGAGAGUAUCCAUAACUAAUAUAUAAAAGCACCAAUGACUAACGGUUUUGGCAAUACAUAUAAUUAUCUUAACCAAGGUAAAGAUAAGUAUAGCAAGGAAGGCAGUUUGACCCUCCCGCGCCAUGACGUCACGCCGCUCAGAGGGAAGGUCCUUUACCGUAUCCUAAUGUAAGUUAUUAUUCGAUGUGUUCCAGGCCAUUUUGCUUUCAGUUCAGCGUCCUUUGAAAGUUUACGGAGGUGUCGUUAAGCGUAUUUCCUCUCCAGUGGGUAGAUUUGCAUCCUCGAACAGGGUUGUCUGCAGCGUUGCUAGAUUAUCGUAUUCACCACAUUUUAUUUAUUACUUUUAAGCCCCAAACUCUCGUACCUACACAAAAAAUAACGAUAGAAAAUUGAAGUUAGCGUUAAAACUCCUAUUUAGUGAUGUUUGUUUGUUUGUUUGUUUUUGUAAUAGUUAUCGGUCAGAAAAUACGAAAAUGCUGUGCAAUGUGCACGAUAAUUUGGCAACGCUGAGUGUGUGUUCGAAUAAACGACUACUCCGUCCCACAGAGAUAUAUACAUAGAGGGUUCCCAGAGCCUGGAUUUUGAAGCAACUGGCGGCCAUCUUAGGGUGACGGAUGGCGAGACAGUGAUAAAUUUAACUCUGUGCUCCGUCCCUGUACGUACGACAAUGUGGUGCAGCCGUACGACACUCUGCCCCCCCUCCCCGCCGCGGCAGUAUGGUUCAAACAGUGCUCGCGGCGGGGUGUUACUCGUGUUUACUGACCUUUAACGGCCUAGAACGUGACCUGACCUCGACCUGACCUCUCCAGCGGGUAAUAGAGAGGUCAAGGAAUGUAUGGUGUGCGAAAGUGACCCGGAUGACCCUUAAAUCGUGGCUGUGGAGGUGAAAACGUCAGCGGAGGUGAUGGUGGUGGCGGUGGUGAGUACCCGGAUGUUAUUCAUUUAUUAUUUAUUUAUUUGUUAUUUUAGGCGUCUUCUGUUUAUGGUGAUGCAUUUUUAGGUCACUUUUAAGGUUGUAAAGCCGUGUUCUCUUUGCCAUGGGGGGAAUUUGUGGCGUUAAGGACAAGCUGCUUGUUUACCGAGGGUGUUUGUGGCACGCGACGCCAACACCGGGGCGACGCGCGGCUAGUUUUCCGCUAUUUUCGCGCCACUGCCUGGACCUGGCCUUUGUUGACCCCGCCAGGUACGUAGGAGGCCUGUCCCUGCGCUGCGUCACCCCCCGCCAGGGCACACAGUGUAAUGUUGCGUUCCGUCUUGAUCCGUUUACCGUUGAUGAGGUUCCGGGCCCCGCGCUCCGCCGCUGAUGCAACCAAUACUGAACGCCAUUAUUCCCUGCUUGGCUGCCUGAAUGCUGUGUUUUAAGACUAGUGAGCGCAUUUUUCCGUCACUCACAAAACCACAAGUGAUGUGUUUGCCAAGGGUCGCCCUAAAAUACGUGUAUGUACGCGACGUAACCUCCCUCCCCCCUCCCCCUGCCCCCACCUGUAGUAGGGGUGGGCAGGUACCGGUACCAGGACCGGCUAAACGGUUCGGUACACGUACCAGACUGCUCGGUAUCGGUACCGAUACUGACCAGUCGUUCACGCUGUUAAAUUUCCUGAGUGGAUAUCUCGGUGAUGUGGAUACUCUCUCUCUCUCUCUCUCUCUCUCUCUCUCUCUCUCUCUCUCGACUAAGGUGAAUAUUUAUUUUUUCGAUAAAAAAUCAGCUUAUAUAGCUGUUAUGGAUGGACUCAUAGUCUAAUAACAAUAACAGUAUGUAUUAGCAGACCUUAGAAAAAGAAUCGGAUGUGAAGAAUUGUCUAAUAGAUAAGUUAAUAAUUAAUGGAGGCUGGAGGUUCUCAGCAUGGAAAGAGGUCUCAAUAUGUGUUGCAGGAAUAAGAGAAUGUGAUGGGAGGAGUUUACCUAUAGCCAGGUUAUGAAGCAAUGCCAGGAAGCUAAAUCAAUGUACAUACUAGAGCAGAAAGACAUCAAUACAAUAGUGUGUUUAAAGCGUGUUGUAGCCCCGGUUAUUAGGUGUGCAAGGGUGUACUGUAAUGUACGAAGAACCAGUACCAGGAUUUGCAAAGGAGAGUGAAUCCUUUAGCGCAACGAGAUCGAUAUUGUUUUAAAAGCUCCUUCUAGCCCCAGUUAAUAGAUGUGCAGGGGUGUUUUGUUAUGUGUGAAGAACCAAUACGAGGGUUUGCCAAGGAGGAAUGUGUGAUGUAGAGCUUAUUAGAAUUAUUUAUGGAGUAACGUGUCGGGAUGGAAUAGCCUAAUAUACUCCUGACACUUCAACGAGUAUUCACAUAACUCAAAAUGUCAUCUAAAGUUCGGGGAUUCGUUAAAUUUAGGGUAAUAUUUAAGUGUUAGAUGUUGUUUCAGGAGUAUCGUAUCCUGAUUCAGUAGCCAAAUAUACCCCGUGUCAGCUUAAUGAGUAUAUAUAUAACAAAAUUUCAUCUGUGUUUCGGCGAUUCGUUAAAAUUUAGUGUAAUCUUAAGUGCUGUUCAUAUGAUAUUAUUCGUAUUAAGUAAGGUUCGUGUGGAGGUUUUCUGAUAAUUACCGUUGAUGGCAUAGUAGUUAAAUUAAGUUCCAUUUAUUACGUUACACAGACUGAUUACGUUAUAGAGAUGCGUUAGUCAGAGCUUUCGUUAUGAGGAUGUUUGCUUAUAAUCACCUUUGACAGCGCAGUAGUUAAAGUAAGUCACAUUUAUUACGUUAUACAGACUGAUUACGUUAUAGAGAUGCGUUAGUCAGAGCUUUCGUUGUAGACAGACGUUAUACCCCCACCACAGUACAGCAAGACAAAAAUUAGUUAAAGUUUACGCUAUGCAAACUGAUUACGUUAUAGAGAUACGUUAGUCAGAGCUUUCGUUAUAGACAGUCCGUUAUAGAAAUGCGUUAUUCAGGGCUUUCGUUAUAGACAGACGUUAUACACCUACCACAGUACAGCAAGACAAAGAUUAGUUAAAGUUUACGUUAUGCAAACUGAUUACGUUAUAGAGAUACGUUAUUCAGAGCUUUCGUUAUAGACAGUCCGUUAUAGAGAUGCGUUAUUCAGGGCUUUCGUUAUAGACAGACGUUAUACACCUACCACAGUACAGCAAGACAAAGAUUAGUUAAAGUUUACGUUAUGCAGACUGAUUACGUUAUAGAGAUACGUUAUUCAGAGCUUUCGUUAUAGACAGUCCGUUAUAGAGAUGCGUUAUUCAGGGCUUUCGUUAUAGACAGACGUUAUACCCCCACCACAGUACAGCAAGACAAAGAUUAGUUAAAGUUUACGUUAUGCAAACUGAUUACGUUAUAGAGAUACGUUAUUCAGAGCUUUCGUUAUAGACAGUCCGUUACAGAGAUGCGUUAUUCAGAGCUUUCGUUGUAGACAGACGUUAUACACCUACCACAGUACAGCAAGACAAAGAUUAGUUAAAGUUUACGUUAUGCAAACUGAUUACGUUAUAGAGACACGUUAUUCAGAGCUUUCGUUAUAGACAGUCCGUUAUAGAGAUGCGUUAUUCAGAGCUUUCGUUGUAGACAGACGUUAUACACCUACCACAGUACAGCAAGAGGCGAAGAUUGGUUAAGCUCUUUCGUAUAAGUAUAAAUAGAUUAGUUGAUUUGUUCUCCUAAAGGCGGUACAAUGUGUGUUCCUUCGCUUGUGUGUGAUCAUCUAUAGGACUUACGUGCUUGUUUGUUUGCUAGGUCUAAGGAGUCAUGGUACAGCUGUUUGUGUCAUGAUAAUAAUAAUAAUGAUGAUAGUAAUGAU